GACGAACGCUGGCGGCGUGCUUAACACAUGCAAGUCGAGCGGUAAGGCCCUUUCGGGGGUACACGAGCGGCGAACGGGUGAGUAACACGUGGGUGACCUGCCCUCAGCUCUGGGAUAAGCCUGGGAAACCGGGUCUAAUACUGGAUAUGACUCCAUGACGCAUGUUGUGGGGUGGAAAGCCUUGUGCGGCUGAGGAUGGGCCCGCGGCCUAUCAGCUUGUUGGUGGGGGAUGGCCUACCAAGGCGACGACGGGUAGCCGGCCUGAGAGGGCGACCGGCCACACUGGGACUGAGACACGGCCCAGACUCCUACGGGAGGCAGCAGUGGGGAAUCUUGCGCAAUGGGCGAAAGCGUGACGCAGCAACGCCGCGUGGGGAAGAAGGCCUCGGUUGUAA
rnacentral:rRNA from 1 species